UACGUAGGGGGCAAGCGUUGUUCGGAUUUACUGGGCGUAAAGGGCGCGUAGGCGGCCUGUCAAGUCAGUUGUGAAAUCUCCGGGCUUAACUCGGAACGGUCAAUUGAUACUGUCAGGCUAGAGUGCAGAAAGGGCAAUCGGAAUUCUUGGUGUAGCGGUGAAAUGCGUAGAUAUCAAGAGGAACACCUGAGGCGAAGGCGGGUUGCUAGGCUGACACUGACGCUGAGGCGCGAAAGCCAGGGGAGCAAACGGG
rnacentral:rRNA from 1 species